rnacentral:lncRNA from 1 species
AGAAAUAGGUGUGUCUCCAGGAACUCCAAAGACGACUUCUCAUGCUUUUCAGCCCCAUCUAAAAAUUUCUUCUACUUUCUUCCGGAUUUCUUCUCAGGCAGCCUGCAUCUCUCAGCAUCUAGAGAAAUCCUCUUGGCGACUCAUGGCCACGGACGUCCUCCCGGAGCUGUCUGCCCACAAGCCACUUCAUACCUGAGAAUCAGGCAGUGAGGAAAACGUCUGCUAUUUCCAGGCUUUCAUGUGAGGGCCUGGGAAAAUGCCUGGCACACAGCUGGUACUCACUAACCAUCACCCGAAUGAGUGAUGGGGGAUACAUCUUGCGGCUUAUUUCCUCUACAUUGAAACAUUGCCUGAACAGAGGAGAGGAAUCUCAUACGACUCAAAAAUCUAAUGAGACUUAGGAAGCUCAGGAAGCUAAGAAAGAAGACCCUGGUAAAGGCAGAUGUUUCCCGGUGCCAUGUGAAUAGAAAAAAAAAAUCAACCUGAG